GAUGAACGCUGGCGGCGUGCCUAAUACAUGCAAGUCGAGCGAACAGACGAGGAGCUUGCUCCUCUGACGUUAGCGGCGGACGGGUGAGUAACACGUGGAUAACCUACCUAUAAGACUGGGAUAACUUCGGGAAACCGGAGCUAAUACCGGAUAACAUGUUGAACCGCAUGGUUCAACAGUGAAAGACGGUCUUGCUGUCACUUAUAGAUGGAUCCGCGCCGCAUUAGCUAGUUGGUAAGGUAACGGCUUACCAAGGCAACGAUGCGUAGCCGACCUGAGAGGGUGAUCGGCCACACUGGAACUGAGACACGGUCCAGACUCCUACGGGAGGCAGCAGUAGGGAAUCCUCCGCAAUGGGCGAAAGCCUGACGGAGCAACGCCGCGUGAGUGAAGAAGGUCUUCGGAUCGUAAAACUCUGUUAUUAGGGAAGAACAAAUGUGUAAGUAACUAUGCACGUCCUGACGGUACCUAACCAGAAAGCCACGGCUAACUACGUG
rnacentral:rRNA from 1 species